rnacentral:lncRNA from 1 species
GUACCGCACCUACAUUUAUUAUAUGUAGAAUGCACAGCCUUAAUCUCCCCUAAUAAUUAAUUUGGCUUAAUGAUUACGUAGAUUAGAAGUUUCAUCUUUCAGACUUUAUCUCAACUAUACGUACCCGAGCUUAAUCACCACUUUCAAUUGGAAUCUGAAUGCAUGUGCCAUCUUCUACCAUGUAGUACACAAAUCCCUAUAGUGUUGACCGUAGCAUCUACAGAGGCUUUGGGCAUGGAGGUGGUGGACGACAACGUUCUCUAACUAGUCAUCGUUUAUUCAGCUUCUGUGGUGCCCAUGCAUUGGAUACACUUACGAAAGUGUUUGUUGAUGUAUGAUGGGUGAUAAUUAGACUUAAAAAUGUAU